AAAGUUUUCUUUACGUCCCCCCCCUCCUCAAGUGAAACGCAAAUGUCAACGUCUCGAGGUAGAGAAGGUCUUCUCUUUAGCAAUUCAAACACAUUGCAAUCACAAGUUAUUCAGAGAAUCAUCUGAGAAACACGUGGCAAAAUGAGAGCUAAGUGGAGAAAGAAGCGUAUGCGUAGGCUGAAGCGUAAGCGCAGGAAGAUGCGUGCAAGGUCCAAGUAGAUUGAUGUCCCAAUUUCGUGACUGAAGCCACAGGGACGCAGUAUUCCGAAUGAAGAAAUUUUUAACUAUAUGUAGUUUCAUGAUUUCUGAAAUUUAAACUGCUUCGGAUACUGCUGAAUGCGGAUUGAAGCAUUUUAAAUAUUAUUUUGUUGGAAAGUUCGAGAUUGGAGAUUGGGAAUAUUUUUUCUCAAUUAUUAAUUCAAAACUCAAAGUGGAAGUUGCCAAAUGAGUCACAAAUUUCCAGAAAUAUCUUUAGUCAUGUGAUUAAGAGUAAAUGUGGAAUAUCAGUCGAAGAGAAAUGAUUCAACAGUUUAUAUUAUUUUUAAAUAUAAUAAUAAAUCGAAUAUGAAAAAAUAUAAA